rnacentral:ribozyme from 1 species
CGCAGGGAAGUACAGGCUUGCCCAGACAGAUGGCUGCGGUGUUUGCACCGCAGGAAAAUACAAUUCGGAGGAGGG